rnacentral:rRNA from 1 species
UACGGGGGGGGCAAGCGUUGUUCGGAAUUACUGGGCGUAAAGGGCUCGUAGGCGCCAACUAAGUCAGACGUGAAAUCCCUCGGCUUAACCGGGGAACUGCGUCUGAUACUGGAUGGCUUGAGUUCGGGAGAGGGAUGCGGAAUUCCAGGUGUAGCGGUGAAAUGCGUAGAUAUCUGGAGGACACCAGUGGCGAAGGCGGCUUUCUGGACGGUAACUGACGCUGAGACGCGAAAGCGUGGGGAGCAAACAGG